rnacentral:misc_RNA from 1 species
GAUGAAGAACGUAGCGAAAUGCGAUACGUAAUGUGAAUUGCAGAAUUCAGUGAAUCAUCGAAUCUUUGAACGCAUAUUGCGCUCUCUGGUAUUCCGGAGAGCAUGCUUGUUUGAGUAUCAGUAAACACCUCAACUUCCAUAUCUUUUUUGAAAUGGGAGUUGGACUUGAGUGAUCCCAACGCUUUUCCUCACCGAAAAGUGGCGGGUUACUUGAAAUGCAGGUGCAGCUGGACUUUUCUCUGAGCUAUAAGCAUAUCUAUUUAGUCUGCCUAAAAACAGAUUAUUACCUUUGCUGCAGCUAACAUAAAGGAGAUUAGUUCUUGUGCUGACUGAUGCAGGAUACACAAAGACAGGCUUCGGCCGACUUUGUAAACUCGAUCUCAAAUCAAGUAAGACUACCCGCUGAACUUAAGCAUAUCAAUAAGCGGAGGA